AUGAGGCUCACUAUUUCGCUUUCUCUCCUCAAUCCUCUAGAUGCACCUCUCUUCUCCAUCUUCUUCAACUCCACCACCAAACCGAACACUGAAACAAAUCAGAAGAAAUUUCUAAACAAUUUCUAAAAAAUAAUUGCUCUUCAAUCCAACCUAUUUCUCCAUCUUCUUCAUCUCCUCCACAAAAUGGAAGUUCUCUCAUGAACCCAAUCUAAAACUGCAACCACAUAACAAAGCAAAUAGGUACCAUUCAUUCUUCUUGAACCAUCUUCUUCUUUUCAUCUUUGUUGUUAAGAUUAUCAGUUCGUCAAAGGAGAUUAAAGAGAUGGCUAAGAAUGUCAAUGAUUUAUGACUUUAUGUGGGAAGAUGAAUGGAGAUAAAGGUUCAAAACAAUAAUCUCUGGGUAGUUUGGUUAGUAGAAGGCUCUCUGGUGUAACUAAUUCAAUAGGUUCACCUAACCAAGAUGAGAAGCCGAAACCUGUUGGUUCAUGUACAAAGAGGGAUUACAUUAAACAGCUGCUUAGGGAGAAGUCGAAAGCUGCUGGAAAGAUGAAAGUUUGGCAAGGUUAUGCGCAUGCUGGUGUGGUUGCUUUGGCUACAUGGUUCUGAUGGGAAAUAGUUUUUGAGGUUCUAUGCCCUGCGUUGUCAAUCUGUACUAUUCAUUUUGAAGGUAGUUAAGAUUUGAAGCAAGUACAGAGACAAACACGUCGAUCUGUGGUUUUUGAGGCGACUGCAGCGAAGAAAGCUGAAUUCGCAGCCAAGAGAGCUUGUCAAGCAGAGAAAAGACAGGUAGUACAUUUUAGCUGGAAGAAGGACUCCCCUGAGAGUUUGUGUGGAUAUCUUCUCGAGGUGAUGCAACCUUCUUGUAUCCUUUUGUCCUUUACGAAUUUAAUAGUGCUGAUACUCUGAAAGUGAUCGGAUAAAGCCUCUAUAUCGUGUUUUUAAUUAACUUUUGGUGCAGCUAUGUUUCUUAGUUUCUCACAUAUUUCUAUAUUCUAUAUUGUAUCCAAUGUAAUAACAACUGAAGACGGAGUUAAUUUUAUAAGCAUAACUGGUUCAAUGCUCACACCUAAGCAUUAGGCUGAUGUUGAAAGUGAUUGAGGCUAUUCUAAAGAAUCCUGAUGAUGAAACUCAGCGUUUUUCUCCCUUUUUGUUACAAAGUGAAAAACACAACCGAGCUUUAGCAGUUAGAAAAGAUUCCAAAAUUCAAGGCUAGGCCACUGAAUAAAAAGGUGACGAAGCCUCGGGAGUUCCACUUUGAAAUUGAUGAAUGGAUUCCACCUGUAAGAACAGUUUUUGAGUUGUUUGACAAGGUACAGACAACAUAAUCACUUUUCUCUUACAACUUUCAUUAAACUCAGAACGCCAUCACAAUGAGCAACUAUAUUUUGGGGAUAUAUGAACUAGUCCCUCUAUUUUGUAAGGUGAAGCUAUGUAAAAGAAUUUGAUGUUCAAUAAUGAACUUGGUCCAAGUUUUCAUACUUUGAACUAACAAUUUUGGUCCAGAUUGUAAAUUGAAUUUGAGCUCCAUUUGAGAUAAUCGUUUGUGUAAUUUGAGACCAAUGAAUCAAUGAAUGUUAAAUUGAAUGAUUA